AAAGUACUAUUUGAAAUGUCUUCUGACUGAGGUCAUAGGAGAGUGAAGUGUGCUGACUAUUUGCAUCACUCUUUUAUGGAUAUGCAAAUAGUCAGCACACUUCACUCUCCUAUGACCUCAGUCAGAAGACAUUUCAAAUAGU